rnacentral:rRNA from 2 species
UAGGGAAUCUUCGGCAAUGGACGAAAGUCUGACCGAGCAACGCCGCGUGAGUGAAGAAGGUUUUCGGAUCUUAAAACUCUGUUGUUAGAGAAGAACAAGGACGUUAGUAACUGAACGUCCCCUGACGGUAUCUAACCAGAAAGCCACGGCUAACUACGUGCCAGCAGCCGCGGUAAUACGUAGGUGGCAAGCGUUGUCCGGAUUUAUUGGGCGUAAAGCGAGCGCAGGCGGUUUCUUAAGUCUGAUGUGAAAGCCCCCGGCUCAACCGGGGAGGGUCAUUGGAAACUGGGAGACUUGAGUGCAGAAGAGGAGAGUGGAAUUCCAUGUGUAGCGGUGAAAUGCGUAGAUAUAUGGAGGAACACCAGUGGCGAAGGCGGCUCUCUGGUCUGUAACUGACGCUGAGGCUCGAAAGCGUGGGGAGCAAACAGG